CUUCAAUCCAACGGAAAACCCAACUGACAGCUAGUUAACUGACAUCUAGCUAAUUAAUAAGUGGGGAAAGACAAAAAUGGUCAAAUUAAACAAGUUAACCCGUUUUUAAUACGAAUUUAAGGAGUGAGUUUGAGUUCCCGUUCUGUCGUUUUUUGCUGAACACUUUUUUACUUGGAUAGAGUUUUGAAAAAAAAAGGACUUGGAGCAGGAGAGAAGAUCUCGAGCAGUAAUUCUCAGAGUGACCCUGCAAUCUGAGGAGCAGUUAACAAUAGUCCUCAUAAAUCUAAAUUUCAACAAAAAAGAAAGCGGAAGGAAAUGGAAAAAGGCGAAAAGACAUGCAUCCGGCGGAAUUUCCUACGGCACCAGAGCAGUCCCGGCUGAUGCCCGCUGAUUCGCCUACAGAUACUCCAGCUGGGGAGGAGGAGGAAGAUGUGAGGGAGGAGGAGUGAAGCUGUGGAAUGCGGUCUUUCUGGAUGUCCUGCAUGAAGUGUGAUGUCACCCAGAAAGUGGUGGGAGGUAAUUAAUGCCCUUUGUCAGGAAAGAUUU